rnacentral:lncRNA from 1 species
CCUCUGAGGCUGCAGAGAAGCUGUUAAGUGCUGGAGAUUUAAAGCUUCAUUCGCCUUUGUGCUAACUUCAAGCUGUUCUAAGCCCAGACGGCAAAACUCAGAGCAGCUGCGAGAGAAAGGAGAUUACUCCCUCUGGAGCCCUGGGUCUGAUUUAGAGGGUGCUUAGAGGAGGCAAGUGGAAGGAAGGAGUAGAACACUCAGAGUUUUAUUUCUGGGGAAACUUUCUCUGCUGAAGAGAAGGCUAAGGACAGAAAAGAAACACUCAUCAGGCAUUUGUCACUGAUGCAAUGGAUGAGAUGAGAAUUGGGGCCUCAGUUAGGGAAGGGAAAAGUCAGGUUUCAUCUAAAGAAGAGCUCACCUACAAGAGUCAUUGCAUAGUACCGGGACAGUCAGAAGGUAGGGUGGAAUAAUUGCCUCAUAAGAUUUGGAGAUUCACCUUUCCAGGAGCAAGAGGCUGGACCCAAUCACCUCAUAAGAUGGAUUCCAUUUAAACUGAUCCCAGACUGUAUCCUUCUUUAGAGGCACCUUGAAUGAUAUCAAAAUUGUGGCAUGUGGGAUGCUGCCUCAGCGUGGUCUGAUGAGCAGUGCCAUGUCCACACCCAGGAUUCAAACUAACGAAACACUGGGCCGCCUGCAGCAGAGCGCACAAAUUUAACCACUCGGCCACGGGGCCAGCCCCUGUUUCCAGUGGCCCCGGCUCUGUCCAUUACCAGGAAGAGGACAUUGGCUACAGCUCAUCCCUUUACAGAAGGAGGCUGGAGGCAUAAAGAAGAUAAGCGUCUGUCCAAGGUCACCGAGCAAGUUAGGGGCACACGGGAAGAGGAUUAGACCCCCUGAUUUGUAAUCUUGUUCUCCUUCCACUGCACUUCACUUUUUGAAACCGAUUGUCAAUGCGCUAUAGCAGGCUUAAGUCCAAAUUAACGGAAUCUUCAAUGGAUAGAAUUCUUCAGGAUCCCCUUGAAGCGUGACAGCUGCAAUGACUUCCAGAUGUUCGCCUCCUCUCUUCUAGCAGACUAGGGUGGAUGUGGUAAACUCCGCGAUGGAAACCAAAAACCCAGCCAGAUGUACCAUGUCAAUGUCAGCAACACACACAUCUGGCUUCAAUACCGGCAGCGAUAACCAGAACAAAUGGCUGUUAUUCCCGCUGUAUUCAACUUGUCAGCAUUCCCCGU